CCCCCCCCCCCCCCCCCCCUCUUUCUCUCUCUCUCGGGAUUUAACAUUCUCCCAGGGAUUUCCGAUCGUUGCCACCGACGCCGCCGUCUCAUCUUCAACGCUGAAGAGCAGGGCCUAAGUACUUGUGUAAAGUCAAGUUUCCAGGAAGCAACAAAGGCGACAACUCUAGAAAUGCUAAAAUCUAUGCACCAUUAACACCACCUGCACUUCCGGCCAGGAACCAAAAUAUAAGACACAAAGCAGGUGCUAUGGAGUUUAAGUUUAGCCAGCUUUUGUGUUUAGUAUACAUGGUAAUUAACACACCCACCACUUUUUAAGAUCAAUUGACGAAUUUUGAUCUAGCAUGCAUGCCAGAGCAUUAGUAGCUUUUGUAUUUUUGCUUGUGCAAAAACAGCAGCCCCUUUUCCAUGCACUUCAGUUUUCUUGUUUAUUUUCUUGUUUUCAAACCUUCUCUCUUUCUAAUACAUUCCUAAUUACACAAGCAAGGAUUUAGAAGUGAUCAAAUGAAGGUAAACAAGCUAGAGAGUCAACCAAACGGAAACAAGUAGGAAGGAAUCAAUUGCAUAACUUUAGAGGAGGAAACGCAUUGCAGAAAGAGUUUGCUGCUAUGCUACAGUUUUGGACAGAAUUAAAAGAGGGAUCUUACCUGCUGCUUUGGUGGCUUCUAUGGUGGUUGUGCUACCUCUUGAGGUGGUCUAGAAUGAGGCAAGUUCAAUAGCUACAAGAGGCUUGAGUUGAGUGGUUGAGGAAGAGGUGAAAUAGGUUGUUAGUUCACUGCUGCAGAUUUUACUGGUUUGGUGUAAUCUAUGGUUGUUCACGUUGGUUUAAGCUUGAGAAAGUGGCUCACAAACAAACACUCAUUUCUAAUGGUUUGAUGUAUAAAAUGGAGGGUUUAACCCUAUUGAAAAGGGAUUCAGGUAAAGGAAAUGAUAGAGCUAAAUCUAUAGUAGAAACUAUAAUAGAAACCGAAUUGCCUAGACCAAAAACAGAGCAGAAUUUUAUUCUACCUUAUCAAGUAGUAGGUUGAACUAAAUUCUCUUGUUUCUACGUGCAGAAAUAUUUUCUCAAACUCAUAAGCCCCUUGAUAAAGCAUACUCAUGAUUUCAGAAGUUCAAACCAUGAUAGUCCUCUACUUAUACACUCAAACACAACAUCAUCUAACUAAAUGAAUGGAAAAGCAAGUGGCAUGAACAAAGGGCUAUGUAGGUUGUCUUGGGGCUGAACUACCUUAAAGCAAGAACAAGAAAAAAAACAUUGCAGACUUUGUUCAACCAGAUUGAGUAUUGCUUUUCAAUUAUAAACAGUAAAUUAUAUCAGGAAGGUCAUGAGGAGACUCAAGAAGAGCUGCCUAAGAAAGCAAAGUUCUUCUUCAGUACUGCAGUUCAAAAUUGGGAUGCAUAAUUUUAUGUAAAAGUUGAGGAUAGUAUAGACCUUGAUCUUUGAGGUUCGGAUUCUCAAUCUUUGAUUAUAGCAACCUUUUCUUUUUUCUUUUUUCCUGGGUAUUCUAGUUUAGAUAUUGGUUAUAACUUUUGCAUGCUUGGCUUAAUCUGAAUAUGGCAUAACUCUUAAUUACUUUACAAUUUUGACUAGAAUUGUGUUAUAAUUUGUUAGUGUUAUAAUUUCUGUAUGGACAAGAGUUGGAUCUAGGGAAUAUGCUACGGAAGAAAUGAGUGAGUACGGGAAGUUUGAGUACUGCAAAGGUGAGUUUGUGACUUCUAUAAGGCAUUUUCUUUUUGUACUACUUGCAUCUCAAAUGGCACAAAACUUGGGUGGAAUAAUACCAAUGAUAUGCAGAUCAAAAACAGGGCAGAUGUGUGGAAUGAAACACACCAGAGGAAAAUUAAUUCAAUGAGUCGAACAAGAACAAACCAUUUUCAUAAAUUGUAACAACAAAAUUAAUAAAACAUGAAAAUGUAAAAUUGUAUGAUGAAACAUUGGACUAUACACAUAUAAUUAUGAUUCUUAAAUCAUAAAUCAGCCAAUUUAGGUGGGGAUUUUUCACCUUUUUUCUCUCUCUAUACUCAUAGUUUUCUUAAAGCAAAAAAAAUGAAAAGUGAUAAGAUUGUAAUUUGGGAUUUUGUUCGUGUUUAUGGUGGGGGUGAUGCUUGGGCCUUUUCCUUCGAUACAUGAAAUGUGUUUGUUAAAUAUGAAAAUUGUGAAAAAUAAAAAAAAAAUGAAUCUCACGUUUGUUUAUUUAUUUAUCUUCAAGAUAGGGGAUAAUGGUAUAUAUAUGGCUUAAUCGAGGAAAGUUGUCUUUAUUUUCUUUUCUCAUUGCUUCAUUUUCUUCGUAUCCAAACAGGGGAUAAAAUGGAGGGUUUAAUGGUACAAUUUUCUCAUUUUCUUCAUUUUCUCAUUGCUUCAUUUUCUUUGACGUAUAAAAUGGAGGGUUUAAUGGUACAAUUACUUGAGAAUUCAAUUUUGUGAAUUUGAGUGGCAAAGGUAUAUUGGUGAAUAUAAAUUGUUGAUCCAUAUCUGAAAUUAGGUGUUUAUGAUUUUCUUUGCAUGUCUUUCACUUGGCUGAAUGGUCUAGCAAGUGUUGGAGAUGCUCAAGAUGCUGUGCACCUUUCAUUGAAUUUUAUUUACGGUUUUGAUUGAUGUGGAUUUUUUUAUUGGGCCUUCUUAUCACGUGUUCGCAUACUAGUUUUGAGCAUUAUAUAAAACUUUGAUGUUUUCAAGUAGUAAUGAUUCAGGCAUUCUUCCUUCUUUUCA